GCUAAAAAAAACAAAACAAUUGUUAUUAGCUUUAUGUUAGAAUGUGUUGCUGUAUGUGUAUAUUUUAAGUUUGCAAUUUCAGUAGUGCAUUUACUGAAAAUCUGCAGAAUAGUAUCUCUAUAUUUAACAUAUAAAAUUUUUGUUUUUAAAGUUUAAAGUAAUUAAAGAUGAGAAAUUUAAUUCCUUUAUCUUUUAUAUGUCCUGUCAAACAUUUCCUUUGCAGUGCUGAGAAAUAAAGACAAACGAUCAAACAUGCAAAUUUAAAAUCUCUACACAUGCAUCCAAAUUUGUGUAGAAGUGAUGUACAUGUACCUGCUGUGUAUGUAUUGGUUUGUUUUAAUAUUGCAGGAUUUGAUCAUUUAUUUGCAUGUUUUACCCCAUACUUUUAAGCUAGACCAUCAUAUUGUAGAUAUGUGUUUGUAGCUGUGACAUUUACAGCGUAUGUAAUUGGUAGAAACCAUAAACACCUUUAUUACUGAAGAAAUUAAAAAUUCUCUUUUUAAGUGAAAUAAGUCUGUAUGUAUUGUGUGUAUUAUUCUAAGGUGGGAAUGUGUCAAACAUUCAAUUCUGAAAAUAUUUUUCAUUGCUAAAUAUAUAAUAAAGAAAAUUGAAACAAG
rnacentral:misc_RNA from 1 species